GAGAGAGCCCAAAAGGAGUAGGGACGCAGGGAGUUCCAUUCAGCCCAGCGUUCUAAGGACAAAUUUAGGGGAGCUCACGCUCGCCCUGCGCUAGGAAGCCAGGCUAGUAGCAGAGCUCCGGAGGUCCGGGGCGGGGCACCGCGGACGGAGUUAGAGGAACCGGGCUGCCAGCUGGGGCCAAAGGCUCCCGCCUCGUGCGGGCUCCGAGGCAUCAGCGGUGCUAAGGACCACAACCCCUGAACGGGUCCCUGACGCCGACCGGCUCUCCCACUCCCACCCAGCUCAGGGCCCCUCAAGGCUGCAAUACCAGCCCACCUGGGGCAAGGAACACGGAGCGGUCCCUCCAGCGUCCACUCGCAUUUCACCUGUGCAGACACAAGCUAGACUCACCUAGGAAGACAAACUUCAAUUGAGAAAAUACCUUCAACCCAUUGAAGUGGUGCACCUGAGGCAAGAGGAUCACUUGAGUUCAAGGCCAGCCUGGUCUACAGAGGUUGAGCCGAGUGUGCCAAGUUCCUGCUCUGACUUCUCUUCAUAAUGAAUGGACUACAAGCCAUAAGGUAGAGUUAUCUGAGAAGAGGAAUCUCAAUUAAGAAAAUGCCUCCCUCCAUAAGACUGCCUAUAGGUGGAAGUAGAUCAAACAACUCACCAUGACAUAUACACAGCAGUUCUGUGUGUAAAUCGACUGUACUGGAAUGUGCCGUGAUUGUUACCAGAGGAGAAGAGAACUCAUUGAUUUUACCCAGCUGUGAACCCUGCAAGAUGCAAUAACUGGCCUGACAAGGGAGAAAGAAGACUUAGACCCAGAAAGCUCACAAAACUUACAAGGCUCCAGAAGCUCAGAGAAUUCCUAGACUCGCACAGCCAUUCCUUGAGAUUGUGUAAGAGGUAACUGUCCCUCAGUGAGAAAGGCAGCACAGGAGCCUGGAGGCAGAGCCUAAGGAGGAGUGCCGCUGCUCCCCGUGACCUUUGCAGUCUGACCACCCGCCCAAGGGUGGUGCCCUUCCUGCAGUGGACUGAGCCAUUGCGUGUCCAUCACCAAUUAAAAACUAAACUCCACAAGCUUGCUACAGGCCAGUUUUACACAGCGUUCUCUCAGUCCUCUCCUCAGACAGCGCUAACCUGUGUUACGUCGACAAGAACCGACUGGCACACUGGAGCUGCUGCAAGUUGGGGCUUUCAGGUCUCAGCAUCCCACCAAGCUACGCCUCCCUCAGAGCUGGGGUUCCCUCCAUAACAUGCAGACCAGUUUUCUCUACAGAAAAACUACAGUUUUAACUACAGAUAUUUGUUAACAUCAUGGCCCAACCAGGAGCUUAGAAACCCCUCAUGCAUGGGGCUCAGGUUUUUAAGUGACUUUGCUGUCAGAAGAUACACCGCCUCUGUUUGUUUUUUCCCUCCGACACUAUCUCUCGGGAGAGUUUCUGGUCAAGAGAAUUAUGUUGAGGCUGCAGAUUUCGAGAGAAUUGCGCCUAAUGGGGAACAGACGGACAAGACACCUUUCAUGUCCGGCCAAGUUUCUCUCCCCUCCUCUUUUCUCUCUCUCUCCCUCUUCUCAUCUUCCCUUUUUGGCUUCAAAAUUGGCCCUGGUCUGUGCGUGUUUCUUUGGUACAUCUGCUGAAUAAGGUCACACGUUGAUUUUAUUUUGGAAAUUGGCAGCCCAGUCAAGCUGAGCUCUGAGGCUGCAGAACAAGGCCACUGUUGGGACAGUGCUGGGCCCAGAUAACUGGCGCGGAGCGGUCUAACCCAUUAGCAGUUGAGAAGCACUUCUGUACCCAAGUUGCGCCAUCUGCCGCUGAGGCACCUCAGAGUGCUUGUAGGAAUGAAAUGUAAGGAAGGUGCUGUGCCUGCUCCUGUUCCUUCCAAAUGCUCCUUCAGUUGACCUGUGCAGUAUGCAGUACUUUAUAGGGAAGAAAGCGUUAGUUCUGGGGCCCCUUGGGAUGCUUAAGUCAUUAAAAGAGAACUUAAGUUUAAGGAGCUUGUAAAUGCCCACUCAAGGGCUGGGGAAAUGGCUCAGUGGGAAGAAGUGUUUGCUGUGCAAACACCUGAGGUCCAUCCCUGGAUCAGGGUGGAAAGAGAGUGUUCAUUCCAGCAAGUUCUUCUCUGAUUUCCAUAUGCACACCUGUGCUCAAACAUAUCAUGCACUCAUGUUGUAACUAUAAAUAUUAAAAAAAAAAGAUGUCUGCACAAACAUAUAGACCAUGGUGUACACAAGUAGAUAGAAAAGAGUUGGGAAAGAGCAGUCUUCUUGGGCUGGGAAAUGGUUCAGUGGUAGUGCCCUUGCUUAGCUUAUGCUAGGGUCUGGGUUAGAUCCCCAGAACAACAUAAAACAAAACCAAAAAUCCCCUUCCUUUGUGCUCCUCCAGAGAAGGCAGAUUAGUAAAACAUUUGGGAGGAUGGCGGUGGUUUGGAUUCCUUGGCCCUUAGUCAUGAGGAUGAGGUAAGAGCAUCCAACUGAUUUCAUGGUAAGGACAGUCACAGUCCUCAGCAAACCAUUUCCAACUGCACCCUGGCAACACCCCACACAGCCCCCUUUCAGGAACAGCCCUUCUUCUGAAGCUCUGGUGGGGAGCAUGACAGUGACUCCUUUUCCAAAGCACAAAGCCAAUGUCCUGUUGGAGCCCGUUCCUUCCCUGUCUAGCCUUAGGCAACAGAAUUGGCUCCAGCCCAGAGUUGUGUGUGUGUGGCGGGGGAAGGACAUGACAGUUUUGUAUGCUUUGAGCCCUGUGGACUGUGUGAGAAUGGAUCUGGAGGAGGAUUGUGGGGGCCAGGGAGGUGGGAUGAUGGCAGGCUGAUUCUAAAUGUCUGGGAAGUGGAACGAUGGGAGGCAGAGUCUCCCCAUGUCUGGGCUUCAUUCUCCUUCCUUCUCACCCCCUCUGCUUGUGGUUUCAGAGUUUGUUCUGUAUUAAGAUACAUCAGUUCUCAGCUAGCACGAUGGAAAAAAUGUGCUUUUCUUUCACAGCAAUCUGGCUUUCUGAGGUUAUAGCUGCAAAUCUAAAACACUGCUUAUCAUCGAUUAAAGUUAGCAAUGAAGGCUACAUGGGACUUGGUAGCAGAUUAUCCGCAGAAAAACCCCAGGGUGCCAGUCUUAGCACUGCCAAGUAAUAAUAAUAAUGAUGAUGAUGAUGAUAAGAUAAUAAUAAUAGAAGCCAAUAAUAGUCAUACUAGUCUUGAAUUUACUUCUUGCCAUGCCAACAAAUUUUCCUGUUCUUAGACAAGGUGUGUGUGUGUGUGUGUGUGUGUGUCCACUCCCAACCUCAGUGCAGAUCCAAAACGAGGGUACUAACAGACUGUCUAAAUACCUAGAACACAGAGUUGGAGGGGGAGCUUAGUGGGUAAAGUACUUACUAUGCAAGCAUGAAGCUGAGUUCAAAUCUCCAGAACCCAUGUAAAGCCAGGAACAGUAGCAUAUGUCAACCCCAGUGCUCUUACUGAAAAAGCAAAAUAAAACAAAACAAAAAACGCCCUGAAAGUUUGUGGAACAGCCAGCCUGAUAGCUUGGAAUACACAGUUCUGAACAACAAAGUGACUGUCUUAAACAAGGUGAGGCCCAGACACCACACACCUGAGACACCUCUUGUCUCUACGCAUGUGCAGUGGCAAGGGCAUGCCAUCAUCCACUCACGUGAAUGUGCACACACACAUAUUAGAAAG